GAUGAGCGCUAGCUACAGGCUUAACACAUGCAAGUCGAGGGGUAACGAGAGGAAAGCUUGCUUUCCUUGUCGACGACCGGCGCACGGGUGAGUAACGCGUAUCCAACCUGCCCCCAACUAGGGAAUAACCUUGCGAAAGUAAGACUAAUACCCUAUAAUUUCCUCAGAUGACAUCUGACGAGGAAUAAAGAUUUAUCGGUUGUGGAUGGGGAUGCGUCUGAUUAGCUUGUUGGCGGGGUAACGGCCCACCAAGGCAACGAUCAGUAGGGGUUCUGAGAGGAAGGUCCCCCACAUUGGAACUGAGACACGGUCCAAACUCCUACGGGAGGCAGCAGUGAGGAAUAUUGGUCAAUGGGCGGAAGCCUGAACCAGCCAAGUAGCGUGCAGGAUGACGGCCCUAUGGGUUGUAAACUGCUUUUAUACAGGAAUAAAGUUAGCCACGUGAGGUUAUUUGUAGGUACUGUAUGAAUAAGGACCGGCUAAUUCCGUGCCAGCAGCCGCAGUAA
rnacentral:rRNA from 1 species